UGAAUCCUACGGGGGGCAGCAGUAGGGAAUCCUCCACAAUGGACGAAAGUCUGAUGGAGCAACGCCGCGUGAGUGAAGAAGGGUUUCGGCUCGUAAAGCUCUGUUGGUAGUGAAGAAAGAUAGAGGUAGUAACUGGCCUUUAUUUUACGGUAAUUACUUAGAAAGUCACGGCUAACUACGUGCCAGCAGCCGCGGUAAUACGUAGGUGGCAAGCGUUGUCCGGAUUUAUUUG
rnacentral:rRNA from 1 species